UGACCUUUGGUCUUUAAACCUAACGAAGCUGCUUGAAGAACAAAUUCGUUCAGGCAAACUUCGUUAAAGGCAGGAUGAUCCAAAAUGCAUUUCCUUUCAUCGAUUUCGAACUGAUACAUUUUACCACGGCAUUGCUCUAUUUCCAUGCAGCAUCGGCACUCU